rnacentral:rRNA from 1 species
UAACCUGCCUCUUAGCGGGGGAUAACUAUUGGAAACGAUAGCUAAUACCGCAUAAAAGUCGACAUUGCAUGAUGUUGACUUGGAAGGUGCAAUUGCAUCACUAAGAGAUGGACCUGCGUUGUAUUAGCUAGUUGGUGAGGUAACGGCUCACCAAGGCGACGAUACAUAGCCGACCUGAGAGGGUGAUCGGCCACACUGGGACUGAGACACGGCCCAG